CAAAAUAUCUCUGUCAUUCUGCGUACCUGUUCCUCCUGACACAAUUUUCAUUGCUCCCACCCUACUUCUCUCCCCUUUUUAUUCAUCCCAUGCACUCAACUUGUACCUUUCCAGUUUAUCUCCACCAUCUCCUUCUAAAUCCUCAAAAUAUAAACACUCUCACAAAACCUUUAAAUCCUGCUCCCAUCUUUUCUUCCUUUCUAUCCUUCUAUUCCUAGCAGCUGGUGAUGUCUCUCCAAACCCCGGUCCCAACUUUGCAAACCCAUCAUGUGCUAACUCCAGCAAUCACUCCAAUCUCAUACCCAU